AAGUUUACCCUUUUUUUAGAA
rnacentral:tRNA from 1 species